UCUCUGCUAGUAUAUCGGUGAGUACACGCGCCUGUCAUCCUCGGCUCAUCGGAACAUCCAUCCGCGCGAAAGCUGGGUUCGACUCCCAGGCAGAGAG